GCAAGGCUGCAAGUUAGAAAACCAAUGAUAAACUCCUGGAAGGAAUUCAGACGCCUUCACAACCCUCCACGGCACAUUCCUCAAAAAAGGUUUUCUCCAGAAAACAGCAACCUGACAGCAGCAACACGGAGCAUGGAAUUUGCUGUGUAGAGUGGGAAGAAAGGAGGGCUGAAUAGCAUCCUGAGACUCCUUCUCUUAUCUAGGACUCUCCCUCCUCUUCAUUCCUGCUGCCUUCUACACUGGGCAGUACCCUGUGUUGUGCCAGAUGGGUGAGAGCAAAUGAAUUACAAAAUAUAAAUACAAA
ensembl:processed_transcript Gm3211 predicted gene 3211